rnacentral:lncRNA from 1 species
GGAAAUUUGAGGUUUUGAUGACUGCCCAUGCUAUUGUCAGAAGCUGCGGUUCUUUUCAUCAGCCUGAACCUGGACCUGCCGCUAUGGAUAACUCAGGUUUUUUUUUUUUUUUUAAUCAACUGCCAUCUUUUCCACUGUUUAGAAACUCUUAAGAUUAAACUUUAGUAAAGUUGUUUUAGUUAUCCAUGUAAUCAGGCUGAGGAUACUUAGCUGCCUAUUUAGGCAAAUGUCAGAAUUUAGUUUGUUCGCUGGGAACUGGUGUGGACUGGCAAAGGAUGAUGAGAUAGUUUUUUGAGUGAGUAAAUUUUGGGAGCUUGAGUGUAUUGGGAUUUGCAAUUACAAUCAUCGUCUGCCUCAGGUGAUUUCUUCUCCUGCUCUGUCAUUGUUUGUUCUCUAAUUCAAAAGCAUAAAAUAUUUCAAUCAAUUUUUAUGCCAGGAAUAUGCAAAAGUUUCUAAUAUUUUAUUUCCAUCUGUUACAAGAUCAAACUGAAGCAGAACUCAAACAAAAGUAUGCUACUUCUUGCGGAAAUCUUGCCUUUGUUCAGAUUAUGAAACCAUUUCCAUGCAGCAAAUUCAUCCAAAAGUUUGAAUAAGUUUCAUGGUUGGACACUGUUGGCUUCUUUUUCUUCUGGGGUGCAUUUAGGUGCUAUCAAGUGACAGCUGUAAGUAUGAUUGCACUAAGCUGCCGCUGGGAAAUUUGAGGUUUUGAUGGCUGCCCAUGUUAUUUUCAAGAAACUAUUGAUGUAAGAAGCUGUGGUUCUUUUCAUCAGCUUGAACCUGAAACUGUCGCUAUGGAUAACUCAGGUUUUUGUUAUCAACUAUAUCAUCUUUUUCACUAUUUUGAAACUCUUAAGAUUAAACUUUAGUAAAGUUGUUUCAGCUAUUCAAAUGAAAAACUCAUUGAUUUGAGACUUCCUUCAUUAUUGUUUCUAAUUACAAUGCUAACGAUCCAGAUAAAAUAAUAUUUAAUCGGCGAAGGUGUCCCUUGGAAGUACAUCCUUCUUUUUCUUUUAUUAUAUAAAUUCUUGCAAUGAGCUUAGUGAAGCUGUUGUGCUAAUCAUGCCACUGCAUAAUUUGGCCCCUAAUGUGGGUACUCUGUUACAUUGUUCUGCAAAUUCUCCAGAAGUUAAAAUCAAUAAAUUUUCUAUUAGCUCUAGUGCUUUGACCUAAAUGCCAUUCUAUAUUUUGAUUACAAUGUUUUAACCUUUAAAUUAACUACCCCUAGAUGUUGGAUUUUCUAGAACUUCAAAAUGAUUAAUGGAGAAAGAUCCCAUUAUCGUUAUUGCUAUAAGAAAUUGAUUUAUGCAUCCAAAGAUACAUUAUAUAUUUCUGUGUCUCUAUUUGUAGAUGACAUUUAAGCAUCCAUAAACCGUCAGACAGAGGAAGGGGGUUCAGUGCAAAGAUUCUGUUGACCUAGGGUUGACUGCAUAAUGUCACUUGUUCGCAAUCUAUUAUUUAUUUUAUAUUUUGAAGAAUUUAAUGGGUAAUCCUAAUUGUUUGUUUUGGCAGGUAUGUGUUGUUAUCUCCUUCUAUCUAACAGUCGUACCUAAAUAGCAUAGUUUCAUCUGUGUUACCAUGUGAUGUACAUAAUUUCACAUUUGCCUCAGAUUAAGCUUAAUUUCCCACAGAAUAGAGCUGUCGCGACUGGACUUAGGUUGAUGUCCAAAGAGGUAAAUUAUUGGCAUGCCUAGAUAAUUUGGCCAUUUCCUAAUUCAUAAGUCUACAUUAAUUUUGAUUUUGAGUUGACUGAUUUCUUUUCAAGGUCUGCUUCCUUAACGGAGUGACCAAUGUUUUUCAACUAAAUUUAUCAUAUGAUGCAGGAAGCAGGGCAGGAUAUGAAAUGAGAAGCUCAUUGGUGGAAGUAUUGCCAGUAACAGAACCCAAAGAAAAUGAAACUAUUUCAAGGCAGCAGUUGGCAGUUGCAAGUGAAUGGAGGCCCUGACAAAAUUCUCAAGCGGUUGCAAUGCAAUUACGAUCAUCCUCAGCCUCAGGUAAUUUCUUCUCCUGCUCUGUUUUUAUUUGUUAUCUAAUUAAAAAGCAUAAAGUAUCUUGAAUCACUUUCUGUAUCUGGAACAUAUGCAGCAGUUUCUAAAAUCUUCAUAUGAGUGUAAUGAUGGUAAUUUCUGUUUUUUGUCUGUCAUUGAAUGUUAGACAACUUUCAGUGAGACUCUUGAACCGAGACAUUUUUGACAAAUGAAGGACAAUUGCUGAAGAGUGGGAAUGGUGCUAGAUUGGGGAAUAAAGACAAAGGAGGUAAAUUAUUUGCAGUUUAUUCAGCAUUAUUUGCUUUGGACCAGCGCCUGAUUCACAAGUCUCCAUAAUUUGGCUUUUGACCAGUUGUUAAUAAAUUUUUUAUUCCAUUGGUGCUAAAUGUACACGUGAAGCAGGCAGAGCAGGACUGUGGAAAUGAGAAGGUUUUUAGUGAAAGCUUAAACUCAGGUAAUUCUAAAAAGUACAUGUUUUUGCUGAUUUAUCUAAAUCAGGAAAUUUUAUUUCCAUCUGUUACAAGAUAAAACAGAAACAGAACACAAAGAAAAAUAUUCUACUUCUUGUGGCAAUCUUGCCUUCAUUCAGACAAUGAAACCAUUUCCUUUCACCAAUUUCUUCCAAAAGUUUGAAUAAGUUUCAUGGUUGGACAUAGUUAGCUUCUUUUUCUUUUGGUGCAUUUAGGUCCUAUCAAGUGACAGCCAUAAGUAUGAUUGCAUUAUUGGGAAAUUUUAGGUUUUGAUGGCUCCCCACGUUAUUGCCAAGAAAGUCCUCAUGUCAAAAGCUGCGGUUCUUUUCAUCAGCCUGAACCCGAACCUGUCGUUAUGGAUAACUCAGGUUUUUGUCAUCAACUAUAUCAUCUUUUUUACUGUUUUGAAACUCUUAAGAUUAAACUUCAGUAAAGUUGUUUCAGUUAUCCAUGUAAUCAGGCCAAGGAUAUUUAGCAGCUUAUUUAGGCAACUGCCAGAAUUCAGUUUGUUUGCUCGAAACUUGUAUGGUGACAAGGAUACUGGCAAGGAUAGUGAGAUAGUUUUUUGUGUGAGUGAAAUUUGAAAGCUUGGGUGUUCUGGGAUUUGCAAUUGCAAUCAUCCUCUGAGUCAGGUGAUUUCUUCUCCUGCUCUGUCUUGAUUUUCUCUCUAAUUGAAAGCAUAAAGUAUUUCAAUCAAAUUCUGUACCAGGAGUACAUAAAAGUUACUAAUAUUUUAUUUCCAUCUGUUUGCAUUGAUAACUCGGCAUAUGUUCUAGUUAAAGAACAAACAGAAACAGAGUUCAGGAAAAAGUUUCUUCGGCCACCAUAUUUGAAAAUGAAACCAUUUCCAGGAAGCAGUUGGCAGCAAAUUCAUAUGGAGUGUAGACAAUGAUGAGCAAAAAGGUGAUUCGCAAUUUCUUUUUUUUUUAAGUGAAAUUAUUUGUUAGAUUGAAGCUGAUAUUGUAAGAAGGCCAUUGAGCUAACCUAUGUCGUCACUUGCCUAGAUUGCAGGGGGUCAAGACUCAAAAGAAGCACUGAAAUUUAAAAAGCAUGGAAUAGUUCUUUUGCCAUGUGUCAAUUAAUGCAAGUUUGAAUAAGUUUAUUGGCUGAACGAUGUUAGCUUCUUUUCCUUUCGUGCACUUUGGUAUGCUAUCAAGUGACAGCCGUAUGUAUGGCUUGCAUAUAGCUGCUGCUGGGAAAAUUGACGAUUUCAUGGCUGGCCGUGUUAUUGUCUUAAAUUAGUUGUGAUAAGCUGUUGCUUGGAGAUUCUGUUGCCAAGACUUUGCUCACAUCAGAAGCUGUGGAAUCUGAACCCUUCGUUAUGUAUCAUCUUUUUCAUUGUUUUAAAACUCUCAGGAUUAAACUUGAGCGAAUUUGUUCGGUUGUCUAUAUAAUCAUGUAUUGAGUAAACUCUCAGGAUACUGAGGGUGAGAGAAAUUAGAGGGUGUAUAGGGAUUUGGAUUUGUUAGGAAGUUAUCAUUUUUAUUUUUAUUUUUAUUUUUUUCCCAGAAAAUCUUCUGGUGGUGCUAUAUUUUCAAACGACAGUCCGAUUCAAAACUUGAUAUUCCAAUUAUAUUCAUAAGCUUCUACAGUUAUCUUCAAAAAGACAAAUGGAAGGCUUUGAACGGCUUGGGUCUGAGUAUUGUAGUUUGAUUUAUUUUGAUGAAAGUACCUUUUGACAUUGAGAUUCUUUCAUGAGUUAAACAUUCUUUUUAAAACCAACUUAUUAAAAAAAAAAAGUAACUAACAUAUAUUAUUUUGUUAGUGCUUUUUAAAUCAAAUAUAAAAAAGAGAACUGUAAUUCUUAGCAACCAAUUUUUCACUGAGUACACCUACAACAAACUAUUAAAAAAUAAAGUGAUAGAAAAUGCCUGAUUUUUCGUACUUUCUAAUUACUUUUGGUCCUAAAAUAUGGCAAUUUGUGUAAUAAUAAGCCCAUGUAUAUCUUUAUGCCAUUAGUUUGAUAAAUAGCUAUCAAGGAUAACUUAUUAAGCUAAAAAUAUUUGAAGGAUAAAUUGAUUUAUGCAUCCAAAGAUACAUUAUAUAUUUCUGUGUCUCUAUUUAUAGAUGACAUUUAAGCAUCCAUAAACCGUCAGACAGAGGAAGGGGGUUCAGUGCAAAGAUUCUGUUGACCUAGGGUUGACUGCAUAAUGUCACUUGUUCGCAAUCUAUUAUUUAUUUUAUAUUUUGAAGAAUUUAAUGGGUAAUCCUAAUUGUUUGUUUUGGCAGGUAUGUGUUGUUAUCUCCUUCUAUCUAACAGUCGUACCUAAAUAGCAUAGUUUCAUCUGUGUUACCAUGUGAUGUACAUAAUUUCACAUUUGCCUCAGAUUAAGCUUAAUUUCCCACAGAAUAGAGCUGUCGUGACUGGACUUAGGUUGAUGUCCAAAGAGGUAAAUUAUUGGCAUGCCUAGAUAAUUUGGCCAUUUCCUAAUUCAUAAGUCUACAUUAAUUUUGAUUUUGAGUUGACUGAUUUCUUUUCAAGGUCUGCUUCCUUAACGGAGUGACCAAUGUUUUUCAACUAAAUUUAUCAUAUGAUGCAG